UCUACGGAAUAGCCACGGGAAACGGUGAGUAAUACCGUAUGAGCCCUUCGGGGGAAAGAUUUAUCGGCAAAGGAUCGGCCCGCGUUGGAUUAGGUAGCUGGGGGGGUAAUGGCCUACCAAGCGUACGAUCCAUAGCUGGUUUUAGAGGAGGAUCACCCACACUGGGACUGAGACACGGCCCAGACUCGUACGGGAGGCAGCAGUGGGGAAUCUUAGACAAUGGGGGCAACCGCGAUCUAGCCAUGCCGCGUGAUUUAAGAAGGCCUUAGGGUCGUAAAGCUAUUUCCCCGGGGGCGAUUAUGACAGUAGCCAGGUGAAGAAGGGCCGU
rnacentral:rRNA from 1 species